rnacentral:lncRNA from 1 species
GGCUUAAUUCUCGGCACCUGCAGAAUAUAAUUUGGUUUGCAAAUGAAACAAAUUGAAACUCGGCAGAAAAUAGGCAGCCCUUGCGUGGUUAUCCUGCAAUUCUGCUUCAAAUUGUGUUUGCGAGGGGCCUGAUCCUGCGUGUCCCGGUGAUGCUCAGGACUCUGUGUCCUGGGCUGCAGGAACAGGGCCGGGGCUGUAGCUGGAUGAAGAUAUUAUGGAUCUGGCUGCUAAUAUUUGCAUCUCUUUUUAUUCGUUUUCCUCCCUCGUUCCUUCCUUAAAAGCCACGUGCCCCCGAGCCCAUGGAGAAGAGGAGGUUGGCUUUUUCCUGCUGAUGCUGUAGACUCCAGGGGUUGGUUGUUAUCUUUGGUUAUCUAGCUGUAUGAGUGGUGUCGAUUCUUCAUAAAGCUAGAUAACCGAAAGUAAAAAUAACCCCAUUACACGCCUGAGGAGGAUGUGGAGAAGAAAGGAAAUUCAUCGAGAGGAAGAGGAGGAAAAGAAAAAAUUAAAAGGAAAAAAAAAAAAAAAAAGAGAAGAGAAAGGAAAUGAGUGGCGGAAAAAAUGGGGGAAAAGACAACUUUCAGAGACUGGAAUUAAAACCCGAGCCCGAGGCCCGUGCUGCCGCAGCUCUGGGGAUGCCCUCGACACCAGGUAUUUGUUAAUGAAGCCUGACUCGUUACUGCCCCGGGAAAUGACAAUUCCUGGGUGUUUGGGUGCUCGGGAGGCAGCACCUGAGGGGUUUGUCCUGUCAGCCCCAUGCCAGGAUAAUGCACUUGUGUGUUGGUUAUUAGUGAUGAGUGACCAUGUCUAGGCAUGGCUGUACCCACCUGCAUCCUCCAGCCCUUCUCCUGUGCAGGACUUGGCUUUUAUUUUAUUAUUUUUAUUUUUUUUUAAAUGUGUGUGUUUGUUUUUCUUUGUUUUUUUUUAAAUAUACUUUCCAAUCACUAAUUAAAAAAACAUAAAAAUCACACAAUUCCAGUUUUGGAAUGAUGUGUGAACUUGGAAAUAGGGGCUUGGAGUCAAAACAAGAUGAGGGGAGCAGAGCAAGGCUCCUGCCUCUAUGGGCUAGAGGCCAGAAGACAUAAAGAAACCCAAGUUACUGGUGCCUUUUUUUUUUUUCCCUUAAUAUUAUUCAUUAUUUAUUUAUUUUUCUUCUUUUUUUUAUUUUUCAGUAGGGAAAGGGGUUUGCCAAAGUGCACAUCUCAAGUAUAUUUUACCUUCUGCAGGGGUUUUAUUAUGCUGGAACCAGCUAAAUAUAAAUAUAAAUAUAAAUAUAAAUAUAAAUAUAAAUAUAAAUAUAAAUAUAAAUAUAAAUAUAAAUAUAAAUAUANNNNNNNNNNNNNNNAUAAAUAUAAAUAUAAAUAUAAAUAUAAAUAUAAAUAGCCCUUAAAUAAAAGGCCUUUUUUUUUUUUUUUAUAACUGACC